rnacentral:lncRNA from 1 species
GUGACCAGGUGGGCACAAGUUACCACCACACAUAACAAGAGACCCUUGCCUGCAGCAUCAUGGGAGGAUACAAAAAGUCCUUUGAGGGACAAAAUCUUUCAAAGCACCAACAACUUGAAGCCAAUAGGCUCUCCCUUCAAAAUGACGCACCACAAGCAAAACAGAAAAAAAAAGAGUACCUAAGUGGAGAUGUGAAUGGAUUCAUGGAAUACCUAAGGCAGAACUCACAGAUGGUUUACGAUGGGGAGAUGAUAGCAACGAUGGGGAGAUGAUAGCAACGAUCAGGCAGUAAGGGAAUAAAUUGCAGUUGCUUUAAAGAAAGACAGUCUUAUGGGAAGGAAAACAAUGAAUGACAAGCAGCAAAGAGAAAGACAAUAGUAUGUUUCCAUUGCAGAAAACCUGGUCAUACAACUGCAGAUUGCCCAGUUGCCCUAGAAAAUCAACAUACGGGCACUGGAACGUGUUCUGGGUCUGGGUCCGUGGAGCGCAAAAUGAUCAAGGGCAGGGCUAAAGUAGCCCUGGCUCUUAAUUAAUUUCCUUUUGCGAAAUGUUUGUUUGUGGGGAAAUGAGACAGCUGUCCAGAUCUUGUCCUGAUCAUCCCAAAGGACUCUGUGCUUAUGGUGGUGGUUGCAAACUUUGUGGCUCUGUGGAAUAUUUUAAGAAGGAUUGUCCUGAAAGUCAGAAUUCAGAUUUUGGAAUGGUCACAGUUGAUUGCUGGUCAAAGGGAGUGAGUGGAGACUCUGAAGAAACUGGAUGACUUAAAUUACAGAAAUCCAAAACAAAGAUACCUAAAAUUGUUAUUUUUUGA